rnacentral:rRNA from 1 species
AACGAACGCUGGCGGCAGGCCUAACACAUGCAAGUCGAGCGCAGUCCUUCGGGACCGAGCGGCGGACGGGUUAGUAACGCGUGGGAAUGUACCCAGAUCUACGGAAUAGCCUUUGGAAACGAAGAGUAAUACCGUAUACGCCCUUCGGGGGAAAGAUUUAUCGGAUUUGGAUCAGCCCGCGUUAGAUUAGAUAGUUGGUGGGGUAACGGCCUACCAAGUCUACGAUCUAUAGCUGGUUUUAGAGGAUGAUCAGCAACACUGGGACUGAGACACGGCCCAGACUCCUACGGGAGGCAGCAGUGGGGAAUCUUAGACAAUGGGCGCAAGCCUGAUCUAGCCAUGCCGCGUGUGUGAUGAAGGCCUUAGGGUCGUAAAGCACUUUCGCCAGAGAUGAUAAUGACAGUACCUGGUAAA